GUGAUGAACCAGGUCGCCGCUCGGUCACUUUUAAGUGGUCGGGAGGAAAGUCCGGGCUCCGUAGGGUAUGAUGCCGGGUAACUCCCGGGACCUGACCGCUAAAGUGGUCAGGGACAGACAGCGCCACAGAAAAUAUACCGCCCGACCACUUAAAAUACUAAAAACCUGCUUGGCAGGGUAUUGCUUGUUGGUAUUUUAAGUGGUCGGGUAAGGGUGAAAAGGCGGGGUAAGAGCCCACCUCACAGCCGGUAACGGCGGCGGAAAGGCAAGCCUCAUCAGGAGCAAAGUCAAACAGCGCGUGAGAUUUGCGUUUUUACGCAAGUCCCUGCCAAUGACCCGUUGGUUAAGCGCGGGUAGACUGCUAAAAAGAGCCGAAAACGGCUCUUUUAGACAGAUGGCGGCAGUGCGCCUUCCCCAAAAGGGAGGGGCGCACCGGGGUUUUGCUUGCGAAAUCCCGGCUCAAAGUCCUUAGGGGUUUUGAGUACAGAACCCGGCUUAUGGUUCAUCGCUUUU
rnacentral:RNase_P_RNA from 1 species